GCGCUCUGCGGGCCUAGCAUGGCGAUUCUAUCUCUAUUCUACCAAGAAACGACAAAGCUCUUUCUUUCCCACUCGACAUGUCUUCUACCCGAGCAUGGCGCGAGCUGUAGACUCGCGUUUCUAUCAAGAGAAAGACUUUCCAUAGCAACGGAUAAGUAGCUAGUGAUGGGUCGCUCUACGAUGAAUUUACGUUUAGUUAGCCAAAAAAAUGUGUCAAUGCACUAUUUUUCACGCAUGAACCUAUACAUAAACUCACGUAACUCAAAGUAACAACAAAACGUAUUCAUCGAACUUAUUUUUAUCUGUGGAACUAAAAUGGUUCAUGUUUGUUUGUUUACAAAAAACGAUUUUUGUUGUUGAUUUUACUUAUUUAAAUAUUGGUGAUUACUGCGUGCGGCAAGGAAAAAGUAAGUAGAUUUUGUGAUUAAAUAAAUAAAGUACUGAUUAUUCCAAUAGUUGUGUGUAAUUAAUCCAAACGAACAUAAUAAUUAUCCAUACAUACGAUGAAAAGAACAAAGGAAAAUAACAUAAUAAUCUCAAUAAAUGGUGAUUGGAGGCAUUGUCUGAUGAAAACUUUGCCAUGCACAGUUCAAUGCGUUCCUCACUGUUAUCUUGCUUCCCUAUAUUAUUGUCCGAAGUGUUUUUACUUUCGUCGUUACAAAACCUGUUUAUUUACAGCGUACGAAGUCCCAUCCAAUAAACAGAGAAGAUAGUAUCGCGAUCCAUUGGGAAAAGAAGGCCACGAUAAAGAAGAAUAGGUCCGUAUUCAAAAGCUGCUGAAAAAAUAUGGAAAAUAACGAGUUCUUGGCAUACAAUGCUGACACGAGAAACAUUCUAUUAAUUACAAAAAAAGGAUGCUGAAUGACAACUGGGUCGUCAGUUUACAAAUUAUAAAUUAUUGAAAUGAUAUCAUUUAAUAAAGAAUGUGAAUAUUAAAAUCAUAAUGGUUGUUUAUUUAAAAUGUCAUUUUUUUCUUAGCAGAUAAAACUGUCCAAUUCUAGAGUCAUAUAGCCUGCGCAGUUUGUUCUUAAUGAGAGAAUUAUUGAAAAUUGAUUGUUUAUGAACUCUGUCAGGAUAAUUGGCAUUUAUGUUCAGUAUUUUGCACUCAGUAUCUACAAUCUGAAAUAGAGGUUAUAUCUAAUAUUAGGUAUACUAACCUUGUAUUCACUGCAAAAACAAAUUGCUUAAAAAAUUUGCUAACAGUGGUUAGU